GCGAGGACGAGGAGCGCCGACGGCCACAUGACCGUGCUGCAGCACUCGCCGCCCGGCUUGCGUUCCCGCCACGUCCACCGCCUCCGCGGCAGGAGGUUGCGGAGGCGGUGCCCGAAGCCGUGGCACGAGCAGUAGCUGCUGGGCGAGUGGCUCCCCGGGUUGGACUGCAGGUCCGAGGAGCCGGCGCGCGUCCCGUACAUGUAGUCGCGGCCGUUCCUGUCGGACAGCGACGAGUACCGGUACUUGAAGCAGAAGCAGCUGCCGCGGAUGUUGCCCUCGUCGUAGCGGUAGUAGCCCGGGUUGGUCCGCCUGGCGCGGCAGUCCCUCUACGGGCAGCAGCCGCCGUUGCCGCAGAAGGCGAAGCGCGCGCCGAUGACGGUCAACGCCUGGGUGACCAAGCUGCGGUUCUGGCCGCUGCGGUGGCACCUCAUGUUCUAGGUAGAGGCGGUGCUGACUACGUAACAGUCGACCUG
rnacentral:rRNA from 1 species